GCCCAGAGGUCAGAAGUGAGAUAUACCCAUAGAUCCCAGACCUCCCGGACCAGAUUGUGCCGCAAACGAAAGGCCAGCUCGAGCUCCCACAGCUCUCCGGAAGGCCUCCCAGAACUAAAGCGGAGGAGGGUGUCAGCCUCAUCCCGCUGCCAGCUGGCCCUCGGUUCCUCAAAGACAGUGAGUUAGGACGGACCUCAGGCUGUCUCUUCGGGUCACACCCGGUGUGAAAAGGCGGCAGAUACAGCACCAGGGCAGACACUCACCCCCAGGGGUGGCUCCCCGUGAUCCCAGGCCUCUAGGCCCCGCAUCAACAGUGCACUGCACGUUGAGGACAAGGCCAUCUCGGACUGCAGACCCUCACGGCCUUCCCACACUGUCCUCACUUGCAACAGGGGCUUCUGGUGGGCCUCCCGUUUCUAAAGCACCCACUAUGGAUGCACAGCAGGACAGACCCAAGUCCCAAGACUGCCUGGGCCUAGUGGCCCCCCUUGCAUCUGCUGCAGAGGUCCCCUCUACAGCUCCCGUGUCUGGGAAGAAGCACAGACCACCAGGACCCCUGUUCUCCUCCUCAGAUCCCUUUCCUGCCACCUCUUCCCACUCCCGGGACUCAGCCCAGGUCACCUCGCUGAUUCCUGCGCCCUUCACAGCUGCAAGCAUGGAUGCCGGCAUGAGAAGAACAAGGCCUGGCACGUCGGCUCCUGCAGCUGCCGCGGCAGCCCCUCCCCCCUCCACAUUGAACCCCACGUCGGGGUCACUACUCAAGGCAGUGGAUGGAGGCCCUUCACAUUUCUGGGCCUCAGCCACAGCUGCAGCAGGUGCCCAGAGGUCAGAAGUGAGAUAUAACCAGAGAUCCCAGACCUCCCGGACCAGAUCGUGCCGCAAA
rnacentral:lncRNA from 1 species